CCUACGGGAGGCAGCAGUGGGGAAUAUUGGGCAAUGGGCGCAAGCCUGACCCAGCAACGCCGCGUGAAGGAAGAAGGCUUUCGGGUUGUAAACUUCUUUUGACAGGGAAGAGUAGAAGACGGUACCUGUCGAAUAAGCCACGGCUAACUACGUGCCAGCAGCCGCGGUAAUACGUAGGUGGCAAGCGUUGUCCGGAUUUACUGGGUGUAAAGGGCGUGUAGCCGGGUUGACAAGUCAGAUGUGAAAUCCUGCGGCUUAACCGCAGAACUGCAUUUGAAACUGGUGAUCUUGAGUACUGGAGAGGCAGACGGAAUGCCUAGUGUAGCGGUGAAAUGCGUAGAUAUUAGGAGGAACACCAGUGGCGAAGGCAGUCUGCUGGACAGCAACUGACGGUGAGGCGCGAAAGCGUGGGGAGCAAACAGGAUUAGAUACCCUAGUAGUC
rnacentral:rRNA from 1 species